AUCUAGAUGAUAAGUGCUAAAUAGGACGAAACAUCUGUCCUGGAU
rnacentral:hammerhead_ribozyme from 1 species